CCGUAGGUGAACCUGCGGAAGGAUCAUUACUGAAUAUAAUGAGGUGUGUCGCUGCCCUUUCGGGGGAUGUGCACGCAUUUCAAAUUCAUCUUUACCACCUGUGCACUUUUGUAGACUAUGAUACCUCUCAAUGGUUAAUUCCGUUGGAUAGAAAGACUUGCGAUUCAGCUGUCUUUCAAUUUCGUAGUCUAUGUUUUAUCUAUUUACUAAAGUCCAGAAUGUCCUUUGUGAGUCUUUUGACUUAUAAAACUUAAUACAACUUUCAACAACGGAUCUCUUGGCUCUCGCAUCGAUGAAGAACGCAGCGAAAUGCGAUAAGUAAUGUGAAUUGCAGAAUUCAGUGAAUCAUCGAAUCUUUGAACGCACCUUGCACUCUUUGGUAUUCCGAAGAGUAUGCCUGUUUGAGUGUCAUUAAAUUCUCAAACCUUCUUGACUUUAUUGACUCGAAGGCUUUGGAUGUGGGGGUUGCUGGCUUUUACGGGUCAGCUCUCCUUAAAUACAUUAGUGGUUACUGUUCUUCCACUUCCUGGUGUGAUAAUUAUCUACGCCAUAGUGAAGAUGUUAAGUGUAGCUGCUUUCGAACCGUCCAUGCAAUGUGGACAAUUUGAACCUUUUGACCUCAAAUCAGGUAGGACUACCCGCUGAACUUAAGCAUAUCAAUAAGCGGAGGAAAAGAAACUAACAAGGAUUCCCCUAGUAACUGCGAGUGAAGCGGGAAAAGC
rnacentral:rRNA from 1 species